rnacentral:rRNA from 1 species
CGCGUACACAACUUGCCUUCAACAGGGGGAAAGUCACUGGAAACGGUGAAUAAUCCCGCAUAACACUAUGGAACUGCAUGGUUUUAUAGUUAAAGUUACGACGGUUGAAGAUAGGUGUGCGUUCUAUUAGCUAGAUGGUAAGGUAACGGCUUACCAUGGCUACGAUAGAUAGGGGGCGUGAGAGCGUGAUCCCCCACACGGGUACUGAGACACGGACCCGACUCCUACGGGAGGCAGCAGUAAGGAAUAUUGGUCAAUGGACGGAAGUCUGAACCAGCCAUCCCGCGUGUGUGAUGAAGG